rnacentral:lncRNA from 1 species
UCAUCCAGACCGCUAGAGGGCGAUAGUUAUGCUUGUUGUAAUGUGUUCAGCCAAUAGGAAGCAGGAAGUAACCAGCUAGUUUUUCAGUGCUGCAGUCAGACAGACGAUGACGGUUUUUGCUGUUUAUUCUGAAGCCAUCCACUCAUUUCCUGCCCUUUGAGUGGCAAUAGAAACCAUGACACAAACUCGAUAAAGUUCAAGGUCAGUUUGUGACAAAAGUGUGGCACCAGCAACCUGAGAGGGACGAUUUUAACUUGGCAUUGAAGGCUCCCUGAGAAACAUCCACCAUCCAAACCCAUCAUCUCCAACAGGAGCUGUGGAGCCACUCCGGCUGUCCAACUUUCAGGUGGCUGUACAAGCCUCAAGAGCUGGAAGACACACCUGUCUACGGGCCUCCGAACAACCCAAAAACCUCCAGCACCCACGUAGAGUCCAGUUCAGAUUCUGGUACAGAGUCCACAUUGGACGGCUUGCUGCCAACAUGAUGGACGACGAUGGCGCUGACGAACCGCAGAUUUGGCAGAGAGUUCUGUGGGACGCGUCUCUCCCAGGAGGCUGAGGGAGGAAGAGCUGCUGACGUCUGAAGCAUCUGCUCGGGCGACCUGCUGACCAGCAGCGCAAGGACAGAGAGGUCUGCCUUAGUGUGAAAGGCAGAUAAAUAAACUUCGUAGAGCUCUUUCUUACUCCUCCUACAGUGAAGCUCUACUUAAACUAAUAUUACUUAAUAAUUCAUUUAUUGUCAUUUAGUAAGUUAUUUUUAUAUUAGAUUUUUUUAUUUGUCCUUUUUUAUCUCAUUUUCGUUCUUAGAUGCUC